UUUUUCUCAUUGUCUGAUCAUUGUUUUUUUUCUUUAGGAGGAAGUGGGACCCGAACCUGGGACCUCCCAUUUGGGAGGCAGGCACUCAACUGCGUGGGCCACAUCUGCUCGCUGAUUGUCCAAUUCUUGAAAUGGGCCUGCUGAUGCAAAUGGUCUGGAUAACAAGAAAGUCAACCCCAUCCUUGGCAGUUUUCUCUUCAGCACGAGACCAUGGAGGAGUAACCAGCUCAAAGAAUGUGAGGCUGUUGGCUGACAGUAUUUGAGUCAGGCACUCUGCUCAUAUUAAUUCCAUCCCCCACAGGACAGCAGGGAAAACGGGACAUUGAGAGUUCUGGCUUUCGUUCCCAGGGCUGGGGAUGGAAUUCUUGAGUAAUAAUAGGAUACCAUCACUUCUUCAUGCUGGCAUCACUUCCAUUUGUGUUGUCACUGAAAAAGAACAAGCCUCAUGGUCC
rnacentral:lncRNA from 1 species